rnacentral:tRNA from 1 species
GUGACUAUAGUUCAGCCGGUUAGAGCGUCAGAUUGUGGUUCUGAAUGUCGUGGGUUCGAAUCCCACUAGUCACC